rnacentral:rRNA from 1 species
GAUGAACGCUAGCGGCAGGCCUAACACAUGCAAGUCGAGGGGUAGCAGGAUUAAGCUUGCUUAAUUGCUGACGACCGGCGCACGGGUGCGUAACGCGUAUGCAACCUACCUUAUACUGGGGUAUAGCCCGGAGAAAUUCGGAUUAAUCCCCCAUAGUACUAAUGAAUCGCAUGGUUUAUUAGUUAAAGCAUUGCGGUAUAAGAUGGGCAUGCGUGCUAUUAGCUAGAUGGUGAGGCAACGGCUCACCAUGGCGACGAUAGGUAGGGGGCCUGAUAGCGUGUUCGCCCACACUGGUACUGAGACACGGACCAGACUCCUACGGGAGGCAGCAGUGAGGAAUAUUGGUCAAUGGGCUCAAGCCUGAACCAGCCAUGCCGCGUGCAGGAAGAAUGCCCUAUGGGUUGUAAACUGCUUUUAUUUGGGAAUAAACCUCUUUACGUGUAGAGAGCUGAAGGUACCAAAUGAAUAAGCACCGGCUAACUCCGUGCCAGCAGCCGCCGUAA